rnacentral:rRNA from 1 species
CCUACGGUGGGCUGCAGUAGGGAAUCUUCCACAAUGGACGAGAGUCUGAUGGAGCAACGCCGCGUGAGUGAAGAAGGGUUUCGGCUCGUUAAGCUUUGUUGGUAGUGAAGAAAGAUAGAGGUAGUAACUGGCCUUUAUUUGACUGUAAUUACUUAGAAAGUCACGGCUAACUACGUGCCAGCAGCCGCGGUAAUACGUAGGAGGCAAGCGUUGUCCGGAUUUAUUGGGCGUAAAGGGAGUGCAGGCGGUUCGAUAAGUCUGAUGUGAAAGCCUUCGGCUCAACCGGAGAAUUGCAUCAGAAACUGGCGAACUUGAGUGCAGAAGAGGAGAGUGGAACUCCAUGUGUAGCGGUGGAAUGCGUAGAUA